rnacentral:rRNA from 1 species
GAUGAACGCUGGCGGCGUGCCUAAUACAUGCAAGUCGAGCGAACAGACGAGGAGCUUGCUCCUCUGACGUUAGCGGCGGACGGGUGAGUAACACGUGGAUAACCUACCUAUAAGACUGGGAUAACUUCGGGAAACCGGAGCUAAUACCGGAUAAUAUAUUGAACCGCAUGGUUCAAUAGUGAAAGACGGUUUUGCUGUCACUUAUAGAUGGAUCCGCGCCGCAUUAGCUAGUUGGUAAGGUAACGGCUUACCAAGGCAACGAUGCGUAGCCGACCUGAGAGGGAGAGGGGCAAGCCGUGGACGGACACACGGUCCGGACCACUCCGGGAGGCAGCAGCGGGGAGUGUUCCGCAACGGGCGAAAGCCUGAAGGAGCACGGUCGCGUGAGUGAUAAAGUUCUUCGGAUCGUAUACCUCUGUUAUUAGGAAAGAACAAAUGUGUAAGGACCUACUCCCGUCUUGACGGUACGUAAUCAGAAAGCAACGACAAACUCCGUC